GAUCGCACGGGAUAAUCGAUUAUCCCGUGGCCCGUGCGGUCGGAUUAUACGGACCGAACGGGAUAAUUGAUUAUCCCGUGCGGUG
rnacentral:pre_miRNA from 18 species